AACUUUCAAAAACGGAUCUCUUGGUUCCCCCCUCCAUGAAAAACGCAACCAAAUGCCAUACCCAAUGGGAAUUGCCCCCAUCGGGAAUCCUCCAGUUCUUGAACCCCCAUUGGGCCCGUCGGGAUUCCGGGGGGCAUGCCUGUCUGAACGUCCUUU
rnacentral:rRNA from 1 species